UACAGAGGGUGCGAGCGUUAAUCGGAAUUACUGGGCGUAAAGCGUGCGUAGACGGUUAUUUAAGUCGGGUGUGAAAGCCCCGGGCUCAACCUGGGAAUUGCAUUCGAGACUGAAUAGCUAGGGUACGGUAGAGGGAAGCGGAAUUUCCGGUGUAGCGGUGAAAUGCGUAGAUAUUGGGAGGAACACCAGUGGCGAAGGCGGCUCACUGGACCGGUACUGACGCUGAGGCGCGAAAGCGUGGGGAGCAAACAGG
rnacentral:rRNA from 1 species